rnacentral:tRNA from 1 species
GGCUGAGUAGCCAAGUGGUCGAAGGCAUUAGUCUGCAAAACUAAUUGUUCGUGGGUUCAAAUCCCACCUCAGCCU